GUGAACGCUGGCGGUAGGCCUUACACAUGCCAGUCGAACGGCAGCACAGUAAGAGCUUGCUCUUACGGGUGGCGAGUGGCGGACGGGUGAGGAAUACAUCGGAAUCUACUUUUUCGUGGGGGAUAACGUAGGGAAACUUACGCUAAUACCGCAUACGACCUACGGGUGAAAGCAGGGGAUCUUCGGACCUUGCGCGAUUGAAUGAGCCGAUGUCGGAUUAGCUAGUUGGCGGGGUAAAGGCCCACCAAGGCGACGAUCCGUAGCUGGUCUGAGAGGAUGAUCAGCCACACUGGAACUGAGACACGGUCCAGACUCCUACGGGAGGCAGCAGUGGGGAAUAUUGGACAAUGGGCGCAAGCCUGAUCCAGCCAUACCGCGUGGGUGAAGAAGGCCUUCGGGUUGUAAAGCCCUUUUGUUGGGAAAGAAAAGCAGCAGGUUAAUACCCCGCUGUUCUGACGGUACCCAAAGAAUAAGCACCGGCUAACUUCGUG
rnacentral:rRNA from 1 species